CGGCCUCUAUAUAUAGCUCUCUGCCCAUACGUUUUUUACGAAGUUACUUAUGACACAUGCUGAUAGAAGAUAACAAGAACCCGGUAGAAUAGUAAAGGUGCACAAAUUGACGUGAAUUUUGCCAUAACAAGGUAUCUAGUGAAAUAGUAGAGGUGUGCAAUUCUGAACUUAUUAAUUAGACAACUUACCAUCUACUUUCCUUAGGCCCCCAACAUUAAUUAUGCACCUCUAAUCCUUUAAUAUUUCUUAUCAACUUCACAUUCUUUAUUUUAGCAACCUUCCCCAUAUUUUCACACAAAAAAAUAAAGCAAAGGGAAAAAACACAGAAAGAAGAAGAAAGAAAAUGGAAGCUCCUCCAAAAUAUCAAAAUAUGUCAUACUAUGACCAUGUCCAAAGCCGUCGUGAAGAAAAGGGGUGCCUCUAUGCUUGCAUGUUCGCGUUGUGUUGCUGUUUCUGCUGCCACGAAAGGGUCUGUUGUUGCUGUUCUUGAAACACAAUUAAUCAUCUGUGUUGGUGAUUAUGGUACUCAGAUUCUUCAAUAUUAUUAUUUGAUAUGUGUGCGAUCCUCCAAAAAUUAUGUAUUUUUGUAUAAUUCGAUACGGUUGCGACAAUAGUCUUUAAGAAUUCAAGCAAAGUAUAUGCAGAUUUGUAUGUUGAUGUUUGAAUAAAAUGGGAUGCCAUAUAUCGCUACUGUUAAUCCAUUACACUAUGUUUAAUUCCUCCUA